rnacentral:rRNA from 1 species
AGCGAACGCUGGCGGCAGGCUUAACACAUGCAAGUCGAACGGUCCUUCGGGAUAGUGGCGGACGGGUGAGUAACACGUGGGAACGUACCCUUAGGUUCGGAACAACACAGGGAAACUUGUGCUAAUACCGGAUAAGCCCUUCGGGGGAAAGAUUUAUCGCCUUUGGAGCGGCCCGCGUCUGAUUAGCUUGUUGGUGAGGUAAUGGCUCACCAAGGCUACGAUCAGUAGCUGGUCUGAGAGGAUGGCCAGCCACACUGGGACUGAGACACGGCCCAGACUCCUACGGGAGGCAGCAGUGGGGAAUCUUGCGCAAUGGGCGAAAGCCUGACGCAGCCAUGCCGCGUGGAUGAUGAAGGUCUUAGGAUUGUAAAAUCCUUUCACCGGGGACGAUAAUGACGGUACCCGGAGAAGAAGCCCCGGCUAACUCUGUGCCAGCCGCCGCGGUAA